AUGCAGCAGGGCCCGGCCCAACGUGGGUGCUUGGUUAAUGGCUGUGGGACCAACGCAUACCCCCGGGAACCGGGUGCUGGCGAUGGCAGCAGCCGCCGGUCCACAGGGCACAUUUUGGAUUUUGACCUUCCAGCUGCUUUAACCCAGGCGGGCCCCGCCGUUCCGCGGCCAGCGCAGACUGCACCGCCCUUCGCUCACCGGGGAGGGGGAGGCUACAGGGCGCUUUUGGAUGAGCUGGCCCCAGCACCCGCCCCCUUUCCGCCCGGGUUCGGUCCAGGGGGCCUCAAGAUGUCAUCAAGUUGAGAUGAGGUCAUUCUGGAUGAGAGUGGGCCCUAAAUCCAGUGACUGGUGUCCUUACAAGAAGAGGGAAACAUGGACCCAGACACAUGACCCACACAGGGAGAGCGCCAUGUGAGGACGGAGGUGGAGAUUGGAGUGAUGGCUCUACAAGCAAGGGCGCAAAAGGUUGCCAACAGCCACCAGGAGCCGGGAGGGAGGCAUGGGGCAGUAAAGGUGAUUCUGCAAGUGGAAAUCCUGCAAAGCAAUCUUGACAAUUGUAGGGUAUUGUGAAUCCACUAGAAACCACCGAAUUUUGGUGAAUUGACGUUAUGUGAAUUUUAUCUCAAUAAAAACUGCUUUUAUUUUA